GCUUCCUCUCCAUACAGAUGGUUCACAAAUGCUGCAGCAGGAUUAGGAAGGGGUAGGACCUGACCUGUUAGUUAGUCUGGGCUGAUGAGUAGGGUGGAGUGUCAUCUACUCCUGCAAUAAAGCAGCAGUAGGUUUAGGAAACUUCAGUGACAUAUGGAAACCAAGAUUUUCUGUUGGGAGUAGUUUGGCUUAGAUAAAUCCCACUUCAAGAAAUGUUUUGGGGGAGAGAAAAUUGAUGAGACAUUCAGUUUUGAGACUUAAAACUGGCUUUCUAUGUCAGUGUUUUUGUUUAAAAAUGUAACCUAAUUGCAGGAUGAUGGGGGGGUGGGGGAGGAGGAAAUAUGGCUGAAGUUAAAAGGGUGGUGAACAAUACAUAUGUUUCUACUUACCUGGAAAAUAUAUAUUUUCAGCUUUUUUAUUAUUAUUAUUUUUACUCUGAAAUUCUGCCUUUCCUCUUUGAAUAAAGAGGAUAAAAACAUACACAAUUCUAAUUUUAUUAGAUGGGAUUUAUUUUUUUAAAUAUAUAUAUAUAUUUAUAUGUCUGGUUGGCUAUCCUUUAUUAUGUCUUCUAAUGAAUUGUGUGAGGAUGUGAUUUAGCAUUAUAUCUCCCUGAUAAAACAGCUUUUGGAGUAUUGCAACUGAAGCAUAAAUCCUGAACAAGAAGCAGUGCUUUCAGAUGUGGUCCAAAGCAAGUCUUCCUCCAAGAAGAUGCUCUUCCUGUGCAUUUGCUUAUGAAAUAAAAAAAUGUAUAAUUAUGGUAAACAAAAUAAGCGUAAUUAGAGCCCCACAGCCUAAGUUAGCGAGAACGCAGGUGUGCUCCAGAAACAAAAAGGCACUCCAGUUUGAAGGGAGCAAGGGAUUUCUUUUCCUUCUUGGCUAACAGUCCUUCACCUGGCUUGAAGAGAAAGCAGAUGGCUCUCUGCUGGCUGUGGAAAGAAAAUCACCUGAGAGGGGAAAGGAAGAAGCAGCUUGAGAAACUGCAACCCGCAAAAGAAUUCAGAUGAAAAUGAGUAUGUGUGCUGAGAGGUUUAGCUAAACACUAUAAAAAUUGACUUGUACAUGAUAAAACUCUCCAAUAUGAAGAGAUCCAUGGACUGUCUAGACCGACUUUUUUUUUUUUUUUUCCCUUCUUAAAAGCAAACAGAACCACACAUAACUAAAUAAGUGCAAAAUUCACACAUGGAUGAUGCCAGAACGUAACAGCAUUGCAUGGAAUAAAUACUUCAGUAAGCUUGGUUCUGGUUUUCCU
rnacentral:lncRNA from 1 species